rnacentral:rRNA from 1 species
CCUACGGGUGGCUGCAGUGAGGAAUAUUGGUCAAUGGGCUUACGCCUGAACCAGCCAAGUCGCGUGAGGGAAGACUGCCCUAUGGGUUGUAAACCUCUUUUGUCAGGGAGCAACGCCGGCUACGUGUAGCCGGACUGAGAGUACCUGAAGAAAAAGCAUCGGCUAACUCCGUGCCAGCAGCCGCGGUAAUACGGAGGAUGCGAGGGUUAUCCGGAUUUAUUGGGUUUAAAGGGGGCGAAGGGGGAAUGCCAAGUCAGCGGGAAAAUCGCGGGGGCCAACCUCGCCCCGCCGUUGAAACUGGCGUUCUUGAGUAGGCGAGAAGUAUGCGGAAUGCCUGGUGUAGCGGUGAAA